rnacentral:tRNA from 2 species
UGAAAUAGCUCAAUAGGUAGAGCAACUGAAUCGUAAUCAGUAGGUUGGGGGUUCGAUUCCUCUUUUCAGC